GGGGCCUUGGCGCAGCGGUAGCGCGUCUGAUUCCAGAUUGGAGCAUCCAGAAGGUCGUCCGUUCAAAUCGGGCAGGCCUCA